rnacentral:tRNA from 1 species
GGCCCGGUAGCUCAGUGGAUAGAGCAGCUGCCUUCUAAGCAGUUGGUCGUGGGUUCGAUCCCCGCCCGGGCUACCA